CACCUACGGGAGGCAGCAGUGGGGAAUUUUGGACAAUGGGCGCAAGCCUGAUCCAGCCAUGCCGCGUGCAGGAUGAAGGCCUUCGGGUUGUAAACUGCUUUUGUACGGAACGAAAAGACUCUUUCUAGUAAAGAGGGUCCAUGACGGUACCGUAAGAAUAAGCACCGGCUAACUACGUGCCAGCAGCCGCGGUAAUACGUAGGGUGCAAGCGUUAAUCGGAAUUACUGGGCGUAAAGCGUGCGCAGGCGGUUAUGUAAGACAGAUGUGAAAUCCCCGGGCUCAACCUGGGAACUGCAUUUGUGACUGCAUAGCUAGAGUACGGCAGAGGGGGAUGGAAUUCCGCGUGUAGCAGUGAAAUGCGUAGAUAUGCGGAGGAACACCGAUGGCGAAGGCAAUCCCCUGGGCCUGUACUGACGCUCAUGCACGAAAGCGUGGGGAGCAAACAGGAUUAGAUACCCUGGUAGUCCACGCCCUAAACGAUGUCAACUGGUUGUUGGGUCUUCACUGACUCAGUAACGAAGCUAACGCGUGAAGUGACCGC
rnacentral:rRNA from 1 species